rnacentral:rRNA from 1 species
CCCUUAGAUGUUCUGGGCUGCACGCGCGCUACACUGAUACUUUCAGCGAGUCCACCACCUUGCCUGAGAGGGUGGGGUAACCUCUGGAAAGUGUAUCGUGAUGGGGAUCGAUUAUUGUAAUUAUUAAUCUUCAACGAGGAAUUCCUAGUAAGCAUGUGUCAUCAGCCCGUGCUGAUUACGUCCCUGCCCUUUGUACACACCGCCCGUCGCUCCUACCGAUUGAACGGUUUAGUGAGGGCCUCGGAUUGGUCUCGGCCCGCUCUUUACCGGGCGGCGCCGUUGGUCGAGAAGACGCUCGAACUUGAUCGUUUAGAGGAAGUAAAAGUCGUAACA